rnacentral:miRNA from 1 species
UGACACAACUGAGCGACUGAGC